GUGGGGAAUAUUGCACAAUGGGGGAAACCCUGAUGCAGCGACGCCGCGUGAAGGAUGAAGUAUUUCGGUAUGUAAACUUCUAUCAGCAGGGAAGAAAGUGACGGUACCUGACUAAGAAGCCCCGGCUAACUACGUGCCAGCAGCCGCGGUAAUACGUAGGGGGCAAGCGUUAUCCGGAUUUACUGGGUGUAAAGGGAGCGUAGACGGAACGGCAAGUCUGAAGUGAAAGCCCGGGGCUCAACCCCGGGACUGCUUUGGAAACUGUUGAUCUGGAGUGCUGGAGAGGCAAGUGGAAUUCCUAGUGUAGCGGUGAAAUGCGUAGAUAUUAGGAGGAACACCAGUGGCGAAGGCGGCUUGCUGGACAGUAACUGACGUUGAGGCUCGAAAGCGUGGGGAGCAAACAGGAUUAGAUACCCCAGUAGUCC
rnacentral:rRNA from 1 species